rnacentral:rRNA from 1 species
CUACGGGGUGCUGCAGUGAGGAAUUUUGCGCAAUGGGGGCAACCCUGACGCAGCAACGCCGCGUGAGUGAAGAAGGCCUUUGGGUCGUAAAGCUCUGUCAAUGGGGAAGAAGUUACUUGGUAUUAAUAGUGCCUUGUAUUGACGGUACUCAUGAAGGAAGCACCGGCUAGCUCCGUGGCCAGCAGCCGCGGUAAUACGGGGGGUGCAAGCGUUAUUCGGAAUUAUUGGGCGUAAAGGGCACGCAGGCGGUCCUGUCAGUCAGAGGUGAAAGCCCAGGGCUCAACCCGGGACGUGCAUUUGAAACAGCAGGACUUGAGUACGGGAGAGGAAAGGGGAAUUCCUGGUGUAGAGGUGAAAUUCGUAGAUAUCAGGAGGAACACCGGUGGCGAAGGCGCCUUUCUGGACCGAUACUGACGCUGAGGUGCGAAGGCGUGGGUAGCGAACGGGAUUAGAUACCCUCGUAGUC